rnacentral:rRNA from 1 species
CCUACGGGAGGCAGCAGUAGGGAAUAUUGCACAAUGGGGGAAACCCUGAAGCAGCAACGCCGCGUGGAGGAUGACGGUUUUCGGAUUGUAAACUUCUGUCGUCAGGGAAGAUAAUGACGGUAUCUAACGAGUAAGCACCGGCUAACUCCGUGCCAGCAGCCGCGGUAAUACGGAGGGUGCGAGCGUUGUUCGGAUUUACUGGGCGUAAAGAGCGCGUAGGCGGGAUAGCAAGUGAGAUGUGAAAUCCUCGGGCUUAACCAUAGAGCUGCAUUUGAAACUGGAAGUCUAGAGUAUAGGAGAGGUAGAUGGAAUUCUUGGUGUAGGGGUGAAAUGCGUAGAGAUUAGGAGGAACACUAGUGGCGAAGGCGAUCUGCUGGAACAUAACUGACGCUGAGGCGCGAAAGCGUGGGGAGCAAACAGGAUUAGAUACCCGUGUAGUC